AAACCUCAAGCCUGCUGAGCGAUCGAUCCCCAUCCCAGCUUCCUUCCAGCCCUUGAUGUUUCAGUAUGCACAUAGGCUAGAAAGAGGUUGGGGAUGGGGAAAGAUGAGAGCAUCGGAUGCAGGAUUGAG
ensembl:miRNA Mir3099 microRNA 3099